rnacentral:rRNA from 1 species
UACGUAGGGGGCUAGCGUUGUCCGGAAUCAUUGGGCGUAAAGCGCGUGUAGGCGGUCCGGUAAGUCCGCUGUGAAAGUCGGGGGCUCAACCCUCGAAUGCCGGUGGAUACUGUCGGGCUAGAGUGCGGAAGAGGCGAGUGGAAUUCCUGGUGUAGCGGUGAAAUGCGUAGAUAUCGGGAGGAACACCAGUGGCGAAGGCGGCUUCCUGGCCUGUUCUUGACGCUGAGGCGCGAAAGCUAGGGGAGCAAACGGG